rnacentral:lncRNA from 1 species
CGCCGCGCUCAGCGCCCUGCGCAGCGCCAUCACCCCCCGGCCCCCUCCUCUUCCUCCUCCUCCUCCUCCUCCCCUCCCGGCGGCCUCAGCGCGGGAGCCCCUCCGCGUCCGUGCGCGCCACCCGAUUGGUCCGCUCAGCCUAGAGGGCGGGCUUUACACCGAGAUCCCGCUUCUGAUUGGGCGGCGGCGGGGAAUGACGCAGCGCCGCCUGAAGCCGUGCGGGCGCCAGCGCUGCCGCCCGGCGUGGGGCACGGCGCUGCGAGGGGCUGGCCGAGGGGGUUCCCGCUGGUGCCCCCCCCGGUCCCCUCCGGUCCCCCUCGGUCCCCUCCGGUCCUCAGCGGGCCAGCAGCGCUGCAGGGGCUCAGUCUCGUCCCCCACAGCUCGGGGGUCCCCCUGGUGGUCCCCCCCAGUAGGGGGGGGGGGGGGGGGGGUGCAGGGGAUGGGGGGGGUGCAGGGGAUGCAGGGGGUGCAGGAGGGAUUCAGGGUGAUAGAGACAGGGGUGCAGGAGGGAUGCAGGAGGUGAAGGGGAUGCAGGGGGGGUUCAGGGUGAUAGAGGCAGGGAUGCAGGAGGGACACCGGAAUUGCAGGAGGGAUGCGGGAUGAUCAAGGCAGGGGUGCAGGAGGGAUGCAGGAGAUGCAGGAGGAUGGAGGCAGGGAUGCAGGAGGUGCAGGAGGGAUGCAGGAGGGACACAGGAGAACACAGGAGGGAUGCAGGAGAUGUAGGACGGAUGCAGGAUGAUGGAGGCAGGGAUGCAGAAAGGAUGCAAGAGAUGCAGGAAAUGCAGGACCACACAGGAGGGAUGCAGGAGAUGCAGGGGGGACACAGGAGGACACAGGAGGGACGCAGGAGUCCCAGCGAUGCUGCAGCCCACCAGCACCACCCCCGUGCAUACAAACCCCUCUGGAUCCCCCCCUGGAUCCCCUCCCCACACUCCAUGGACCACGAACACGGGACCAGGAGCCCAACGGAGGGGAUGCAGCAGCGAGGAGUGGCUCCAGCU